rnacentral:rRNA from 1 species
ACUAAGCGUACACGGUGGAUGCCCUGGCAGUCAGAGGCGAUGAAGGACGUGCUAAUCUGCGAUAAGCGUCGGUAAGGUGAUAUGAACCGUUAUAACCGGCGAUUUCCGAAUGGGGAAACCCAGUGUGAUUCGUCACACUAUCAUUAACUGAAUCCAUAGGUUAAUGAGGCGAACCGGGGGAACUGAAACAUCUAAGUACCCCGAGGAAAAGAAAUCAACCGAGAUUCCCCCAGUAGCGGCGAGCGAACGGGGAGCAGCCCAGAGCCUGAAUCAGUGUGUGUGUUAGUGGAAGCGUCUGGAAAGGCGCGCGAUACAGGGUGACAGCCCCGUACACAAAAAUGCACAUGCUGUGAGCUCGAUGAGUAGGGCGGGACACGUGGUAUCCUGUCUGAAUAUGGGGGGACCAUCCUCCAAGGCUAAAUACUCCUGACUGACCGAUAGUGAACCAGUACCGUGAGGGAAAGGCGAAAAGAACCCCGGCGAGGGGAGUGAAAAAGAACCUGAAACCGUGUACGUACAAGCAGUGGGAGCACAGAGCAAUCUGUGUGACUGCGUACCUUUUGUAUAAUGGGUCAGCGACUUAUAUUCUGUAGCAAGGUUAACCGAAUAGGGGAGCCGAAGGGAAACCGAGUCUUAACUGGGCGUUAAGUUGCAGGGUAUAGACCCGAAACCCGGUGAUCUAGCCAUGGGCAGGUUGAAGGUUGGGUAACACUAACUGGAGGACCGAACCGACUAAUGUUGAAAAAUUAGCGGAUGACUUGUGGCUGGGGGUGAAAGGCCAAUCAAACCGGGAGAUAGCUGGUUCUCCCCGAAAGCUAUUUAGGUAGCGCCUCGUGAAUUCAUCUCCGGGGGUAGAGCACUGUUUCGGCAAGGGGGUCAUCCCGACUUACCAACCCGAUGCAAACUGCGAAUACCGGAGAAUGUUAUCACGGGAGACACACGGCGGGUGCUAACGUCCGUCGUGAAGAGGGAAACAACCCAGACCGCCAGCUAAGGUCCCAAAGUCAUGGUUAAGUGGGAAACGAUGUGGGAAGGCCCAGACAGCCAGGAUGUUGGCUUAGAAGCAGCCAUCAUUUAAAGAAAGCGUAAUAGCUCACUGGUCGAGUCGGCCUGCGCGGAAGAUGUAACGGGGCUAAACCAUGCACCGAAGCUGCGGCAGCGACGCUUAUGCGUUGUUGGGUAGGGGAGCGUUCUGUAAGCCUGUGAAGGUGUACUGUGAGGUAUGCUGGAGGUAUCAGAAGUGCGAAUGCUGACAUAAGUAACGAUAAAGCGGGUGAAAAGCCCGCUCGCCGGAAGACCAAGGGUUCCUGUCCAACGUUAAUCGGGGCAGGGUGAGUCGACCCCUAAGGCGAGGCCGAAAGGCGUAGUCGAUGGGAAACAGGUUAAUAUUCCUGUACUUGGUGUUACUGCGAAGGGGGGACGGAGAAGGCUAUGUUGGCCGGGCGACGGUUGUCCCGGUUUAAGCGUGUAGGCUGGUUUUCCAGGCAAAUCCGGAAAAUCAAGGCUGAGGCGUGAUGACGAGGCACUACGGUGCUGAAGCAACAAAUGCCCUGCUUCCAGGAAAAGCCUCUAAGCAUCAGGUAACAUCAAAUCGUACCCCAAACCGACACAGGUGGUCAGGUAGAGAAUACCAAGGCGCUUGAGAGAACUCGGGUGAAGGAACUAGGCAAAAUGGUGCCGUAACUUCGGGAGAAGGCACGCUGAUAUGUAGGUGAAGUCCCUCGCGGAUGGAGCUGAAAUCAGUCGAAGAUACCAGCUGGCUGCAACUGUUUAUUAAAAACACAGCACUGUGCAAACACGAAAGUGGACGUAUACGGUGUGACGCCUGCCCGGUGCCGGAAGGUUAAUUGAUGGGGUUAGCGCAAGCGAAGCUCUUGAUCGAAGCCCCGGUAAACGGCGGCCGUAACUAUAACGGUCCUAAGGUAGCGAAAUUCCUUGUCGGGUAAGUUCCGACCUGCACGAAUGGCGUAAUGAUGGCCAGGCUGUCUCCACCCGAGACUCAGUGAAAUUGAACUCGCUGUGAAGAUGCAGUGUACCCGCGGCAAGACGGAAAGACCCCGUGAACCUUUACUAUAGCUUGACACUGAACAUUGAGCCUUGAUGUGUAGGAUAGGUGGGAGGCUUUGAAGUGUGGACGCCAGUCUGCAUGGAGCCGACCUUGAAAUACCACCCUUUAAUGUUUGAUGUUCUAACGUGGACCCGUAAUCCGGGUUGCGGACAGUGUCUGGUGGGUAGUUUGACUGGGGCGGUCUCCUCCUAAAGAGUAACGGAGGAGCACGAAGGUUGGCUAAUCCUGGUCGGACAUCAGGAGGUUAGUGCAAUGGCAUAAGCCAGCUUGACUGCGAGCGUGACGGCGCGAGCAGGUGCGAAAGCAGGUCAUAGUGAUCCGGUGGUUCUGAAUGGAAGGGCCAUCGCUCAACGGAUAAAAGGUACUCCGGGGAUAACAGGCUGAUACCGCCCAAGAGUUCAUAUCGACGGCGGUGUUUGGCACCUCGAUGUCGGCUCAUCACAUCCUGGGGCUGAAGUAGGUCCCAAGGGUAUGGCUGUUCGCCAUUUAAAGUGGUACGCGAGCUGGGUUUAGAACGUCGUGAGACAGUUCGGUCCCUAUCUGCCGUGGGCGCUGGAGAACUGAGGGGGGCUGCUCCUAGUACGAGAGGACCGGAGUGGACGCAUCACUGGUGUUCGGGUUGUCAUGCCAAUGGCACUGCCCGGUAGCUAAAUGCGGAAGAGAUAAGUGCUGAAAGCAUCUAAGCACGAAACUUGCCCCGAGAUGAGUUCUCCCUGACUCCUUGAGAGUCCUGAAGGAACGUUGAAGACGACGACGUUGAUAGGCCGGGUGUGUAAGCGCAGCGAUGCGUUGAGCUAACCGGUACUAAUGAACCGUGAGGCUUAACC